UUGUUCUAUAGGUGGGCUCCUGAUUAUCAGAACUUGAAAUUUGAAAGGUAUUCCCUUAUUCUACAGGUGGGUGCUUGAUUGCCAGAAAUUGAAAUUUGAAAUGUAUUACCUUGUUCUACAGGUGGCGCCUGAUUAUAAGAACUUGAAAUUUAAAAGGUAAAUCCCAUUAUCCAGGAGGGUCCUGCAACUCUUAAUUAAUGACAACUUUAAGGUUAGGCUGUAUACUUGUUCUACAGGCGGGCGCCUGAUUAUCAGAACUUGAAAUUUAAAAGGUAAAUCCCAUUAUCCAGGAGGGUCCUG
rnacentral:lncRNA from 1 species